AUGAAGAGGAGGACGAGAGUGACGACCCGAGUGAUGAAGAAGAAGUCGACUCGCCUCCUCGCAGAGAAAGGAGGUCCAAGCACACUCAUGACCCGGCAAGCGCCCCCGACCUGGUGGCCGCCCCAACUAGGCAGUCUUCAAAGCGUCCUCGGACGUCUUCUCCAGUGCCGACUGAGAAGGCACCGAAGCAGCCCAAGACUGCGCCGCCUCCAGCAUCGAAACCACCAAAGGCCGCACCCUCCAAACUGCCGAAGGCUUUGCCCAAAAUCAAAGUGA
rnacentral:rRNA from 1 species